rnacentral:rRNA from 1 species
UACGUAGGGUGCGAGCGUUACUCGGAAUUACUGGGCGUAAAGCGUGCGCAGGCGGUUCGUUGUGUCUGAUGUGAAAGCCCCGGGCUCAACCUGGGAAUGGCAUUGGAAACUGGCGAGCUAGAGUGUGGCAGAGGGGGGUGGAAUUCCGCGUGUAGCAGUGAAAUGCGUAGAGAUGUGGAGGAAUACCGAUGGCGAAGGCAGCCCCCUGGGCCAAUACUGACGCUCAUGCACGAAAGCGUGGGGAGCAAACAGG